CAGAAAGGGGUGUUUUAUUUUUAUUUUUCCAUGUACAGAGUUUGGGAAGAGAAAAUAAGUGACCAUCAUGACAACUUGACUUGAUUAACUUUGAGAAGGGAGAGGAUAAAUUCACUUUUCAUUGAGUUGGAUCCAGUUGCCUGCUAUCCUCAUUUUUACUGCUUUUAUUAUGUGCAAGGAUGGCAAUGUGGAGAAGAGGAGAUAUAUCCUGAACAGCUGUUGUGAGAGCAGAUGUUUGUGAGGAAAAGGAGAUGCACUGACCAAUUAUCUAAGCAUGGGACGCAGAGAAGCAUUUCUCAACAUGUGUCCCACAUCAUUACCUCCCAUUUUUUCAUGUAAAUAUUAGAAAGGUCAACACAGACAGAAAUUCUCAUACUUGCUGGCUGACUCACAUGCAUGUGAAAUGUAUCAUAAAAUCAGUAUCUAUAAUGAAUGUUUACAGUGUGCCAGAUGCAAAGAUGAUAAUCCUGUAUCAGUCAGGACAAACUAGAACUAUUUCUGUCUUCCUCACGUCCAAAAGCUUGAGUUGCUGCCCCUUCCCCACCGAUUCAGGUUCAACUUCAUACUUUCUGCAUGUCUGGUUGUGGUUGUCUUGACUUUUUAACAGAAACAAAAAGGUUUUGCAUUUUCAGUUGUUGGACUGGUGGUAGUAUUUGGCCAGUUUCUCACCUGGUAUAAAAAAGUUAUAGUCCUGUAGACUGGAAAAGAACGAAUUUACACCAGAUAUCAAUCAGACUUACAAUCUGACACACUGUUUUGUAAACUGUGAUGGUAGGCGGUUUAUAAGCAGACCAGCCCACCAUGCUGAGGACAGAAAGGUUGAAAAACAUCACUGAAAAUAUGCUGUGUCUCCUUAGGAACCAGAACCCCUAUGGAUUACAGUAAAACUUGCACAAGUAUCUCCCAAGUCAUCAGCUGGAGGAAAAAUCUAUUCCUGGAUGCCAGCAUUCAACUAAUUUUGCCUUGCAGUUGAGGUGGAUGAUGGUACUAUAUGAAAUGUAUAUAAAUUAAUAUAUUGCCAAGUUAAAAUAUUGAUUUCCACUGUGUAAAAGGUAACAUGUAAAAUCAAAAAACAACUGGAAGUAAAGUAUAUCGCUUUACUAUAUCACACUUCUAAAGAGAAUGGCAGAGUGUGAAUUAAAUAAAAAAUGUAUGAAAAAAAAUGAACGGUACUUACAAUUUAUUUUGUGAUGACAAGUAACUUAAGUAAUACAUAUAGAAUGUUUAUAAUAUUUUCAAGUGUCUUGAGAAGUUAAAAUCUAUGCACUAAGUGGAUACCCUGCUGCAGCUACUGGUCAGAGCAGGCAAGCUAAGAUAGGGACUGUUGCAGUGAUUCCCUGGGAGCACACUGCCCACAUUGCCAGGGUGUGCUACCUGAGCCAUGCCAUGGUGAGAAACACGCAGGAAGAUUCCUCUCCCCAGCCUCUGACUCACACACCUGAGCUGUCUGCCCUGUGCUCCUUUUAUAGCUGACAGAGAGAAAAGGACAAUUUAGGGCACGGCUCAUCUUGUCUGAAUAAGUUUUUCUCCACUGACUGUAAAAGGAAAGUAAGGUAAACCAAAAAAAUAGUUAAUCAUCAUCAAUCCUCUCCUUGCUAUUUGAGCAAAAGACAGGGAACAGAAAAAUGUAUAUGUUCAGCAACACAGGGAAAACUGUCUUCUUGCAGUGGUUUGAGCUUAGGAUGAGAAAAUGUUACCUGAUGUCUGUUUAAGAACAGACACACAAAACAGUUGAAAAAUUUACUUAGUUCCUGAGUGACAGGUAAACACAGCAGAAAUGCCUCCUCAGCAAUGUGCAGAUAACCUUGUUAAAGCCUCCCCAGACACUGAAGGAUUUCAGGCUCCUGAUUUACAGGCUCACUCCAGAAAUGGGUCAAGGCUGGGACAUCUGCCUGGGUCAUUUAACUGGAUGACAGGGACAACCCUCAGAUGUGCCAAUGCCUCCAGCUGAGGAUUGCUUUCAAGUGGCUAAGCUCUCCCUUUCACUGCUUUAUUUUUCUAAUGAAAGGAAGUCUGAUUUUAACAAAUCCUACUCUCUAAACGUAUUUAAGUUAAUAACAACGAGGGAUUUCACUCAUGCAAACUCUGCUCUUGUUGUCUGAGCAACAAAACAUAUAUGUGGUACACACUCCUGGUUUAGCUAGAUAUGCACCAAAGCACAGACAACAAAUCCUUACCAGAAACUAUGAGGCAAAGUUCAGCUAAAUGCCUGAAAACUCAGAAAAAUCACAACAACCCUCAGCAUAUAGCAGUCAAUUUUGCAGAACAACUGGGUAUCACUCUUGCCCCUGUAUCACUGGCCACUUAUGAGAGGCAAUAGAUUAUAUUUUCCUGCAUAUUAUAAUGCAGUAUUUGUUAGACUUAUAGACUAGAGUUGUCCAAAAGUACCAAAAAUAACAAGAAUUCUUAUACUUCGUUAAAGCAAGAAAUGGACCUAUGCUGACCUAUAGCACUCUUGAGCCCUCAUAAACAGGGGGAGAAGACGACUGCAUUUGAACUGCUGGCUCAAGCAGCAGAGACGUAGAUCCCACAGAGAGACCAUUUACCAUAAAGGCAGAGCAGGUGACAAAACUAUGUGCUUUUGUUUAUGCUGGCAGAAUACUUUUACUUACAAGGACCUUCUUAGAAAGAAAGCCAUUUUUGGAUGGAUAAUUGCAGAGAAAACAAUUGCAGGGGCACAAGAGAAAAGAGCUAUCAACACAGUGGAACCAAAAGCACAUCAUCAUGGAACAGUUGCUGCUAGAGAGCACAGCAAAGACUGAAAGAAAAAUGGAUAAAAGAAGCUAAGAGCAAAACAUGUUUCACCAUACUUCCCAAAAGAUACAAAUGUUUGGAAGCAGUGCUAUGGAUGUCUUCAAAAGAUUCCACUCAUCUACAUCACAAGAUGAAGAUGUGAAAGAUUAGUAAACACAUCCUAGAGAAGGGGAACAUUGAGUAUGUUGCUUGUGGGUCCUACAGUGAGUCAGGGCACUGCUCAGACCAGUGACUCUGUUUGUGGUGGUCUUGUUGAAGCCCAAAGUUUCCUUUCGAGCUUGCCACAAAGCAUGAAGGUUAACACAUGGAUAAAAUUCUACCCCAGUUUCUGUACAUACAGACUUUCUCAGGAGCACUUUAGAGAUGACAGAGAGAGGAGAUUCCCCCCAUUCCAUAUCCAUACUUCAAGCAACAUUAAGUAAAGAGGCAAUAAUUUAUUAUUUGUGGUUCUUGAGAACAGGAGACUCAAGAACUAGACACAUUGUUUUCUGCAUAAUUUUCAGUUUCUCUCAUGGACAGAGAAAUGAAGGAUUACUAACACUAGUUCGGAAUUAAAUCAGCACCAGGAGGCACACAACACAGGAAGCUACCACAAGCCAGCACAGCCCACCAAGGUGGGCUUUGCGAGUGAUUUCAUUAAAGUAGGGGCUUUUUCAGUCCACAUCAGAGACAAAAUAGCUACAGGAUAUGUCUGCAGGAUGACAGGAAUUGUUCUUCACUCCACUAAAUAGUGCGAGAAGAGCUCCUAUGUCUCCGAAAUUUCCAGCACUACCAGGUGUGAUUCUAGAACCAACCCACCAGAUCCUCAGCCAGGACCAUAGUAAACAGGACAGCCUUGCUGGAAGAAGAAAUCUUAAAAAACCAUACAUAUAUUGGCAUGAGAUCCAGGUAUCAUAAAAUAUAAUGGUUAAUACACACUUGAUUCAUCUUUUCAGAGUAAAACAAGGGAUGAAGAUUGUGCAUGAUUACUCUUCCAAUGCCAUUAAUUUGCUUGAAUUUAUCCAUUUAAUACACUGUUGCGGAACACUAUAACUCCCUUUUCCCUGCCAGUAAACUGUUGCUGCACUUGUGAUCAGAAUCACAAAGAAACACAUAUUUACAGUGACAGAAUUGCCAGAUUUCAAGUCUCAAACCAUAAAUGCUACUUUGAUUAGUAUUCAAAAUAGUUAAAAUUUUUGCACACUUUGUAGGUGUAAAUAUUAAAAACUGCUGAGCCUCCAAAACAUUUUAAGCAGUUACCUGAAAUCUUCAAGGAGGCAGCAAAAAUCCUAGGACUGACUUCUUGUGCUACCAGGUAUUGUUUUGCAUAAAAUCUUCAGGGUUGGUUGGAAUCUAGACCCUCUGAGAAGAGAGAAGUGACACACCAGGAACUUAUAAAUAUGGUUAAAUGACCCAGCUGCUACUGCUGACACAGUUACAUUGGCAUAAAAGAUAUCUCUGCUGCAUGGUUUGUUUUGACAAAUUUGAGAAAUUAGCUCUAUCAGUAUAAUCACUUUUACUCAGGCUACUGCAAUCUACUUCAGAGUUGCAUCAAUUUACUGGUAUUGGUUUCUAAGCUAAACAGUCAAUACAAAACUUCUCCGCAGGUCAAUCACACAUAGUAACUCCAGUAAGUCCAGUAAAGGAGGUAAACUAGCCCAGAAUUUUCCAAAAGCAGGAACUAAAACACUGCACUUCAAUGUCACCUUUUAGCAGAACAUUGUAAGCAUUUAACAGAGAGAACCUCCUACAGACUGUGAGGCAGGUUAGCAGUGCAAAUUAUUUUGCAUGCCAAGAAUAGGCACAGAAAUGUUUCCAGGAUAUUAGUUUAAAUAGUCACAUAAAAUACAUUAAAAAAUCCCUAGGCAUUUUCUGUCCCUAUCCUGGUUCUGUGGUGUGAUCAAACACAUGAUCCUUCAGCUUGUUUUGACAGCCAAGUGGAAGAUGAAGUAGGAGUUCAGAAAACCACAGAACAAUGCAGCAAAUCUCAGCUAAUUUGAGAAAACAUAGUCAUGAUAAUGAGAAGGGAGAAAGGUUCAGUGGUCGCCUAGCAUCACAUAUUUAGGGGUAGCUUUUGGCAGAAAGCAAAACACUUGAUGUUAAAUACAUAUUUGCAACGAAAUUGUUUAACUUGACAUACUGUGUCACCAGUAUCAAAACUGAUUUCUUGCCAACACAUUCUUCCAUUUCACUGUAUGCAACCAAUACAAACAUGGUAAGCUCCCUGUUACCAAAACCAACUUUCUGUAUUGUGCAAAAAUGAUGCUUUGGCACUGAGUGGAAGACAACACAGAGGUAUAGAGUAUAUAGGCGUAUAUAGAGUCCAAAGGACACAAACUGUAAAAGAAAUAUUUCAACUGUCACUGAGAUCCAGCUUCAGGCAGAAUUUGGAAUACUCCUUUCCUGUACAUGGAUAAAGGUAGGAAUCUUCUUCCCCAGAGAGACAUAAAGAGGUGACAUUCUAGCACUCUCAAGGAAGCACCACAACUGUGGACAAGCAGCUGAGUCGCUGGCUGGAUGUUGGUGGCUGCCUGUGUUGGCUGUGCAUGGUGUACAAAGCUGCCAUAUGCUGCAGGGCCCAGCCAGGGUCUCAAGCUGCUUCUCCACAGGAGGAUCUCCAUCUGUACCCCCGCUGCAUGUGCCUCCAUGCUGAGGAAUUCCAAAAGGGCUGCCAAGAUCUGUAAAAAGUAAUACCCCUGCUCUCUUGUCAGUGUUGGCAAAAACAAGGUCUGCAUUCCUUUGACUGUGGGCUCUUUGGAGCAAGAAUAGGAAACACAAGUGCUACCAUUAAUAUUUGUCCUCAGAAUGCUGAAUAAUGAAGUGGAACUUGCACAAUAAAAAUGUUCAUCUUCGCAGUACUUGAACAUAACUUCUCAUUUCAGGCGGGUGCCUAACAUCAGUGCUCUGCCAGGUUGGAAGGUACAUGGUAUUCUGUCUUCAGCAAAAAUGAAAUAAAUGUUUGAUAAAAAUCAAAGCUGCACAUGUAGCCAACUCAAAUUAGAUCACAGCACUUGGAAAGGGUGAGUAUCUACUCCAUCAUUUUGCCCAGCUGGGCAGCAGAAUGUACUCCAUCACCUUGUGUAGGUGUCUCACACGCCCAGUUCAGAAACCAAUCAGGUAUUAACUGCAGCAAAGUGUAGUAGAAAUCUUGGUGAAACUCCCUGCAGGCAACCAUUCCACCAUUGACAGUAGCUGCCAUUAGAAGAGGUCCCCAGGGCUGCAGUCAGGCUGGAGCACUAUGUGGCUUGAUGAGACACAGCACACAUGGACACAACACAUGGAAGCACACAGCAUCACCUCCCAGUCCAAAGAGACACAUCAGCACUGCUGUGCCACAGCCAGCAAAAUCCCAGAAACUGCUUAGCCACAGGACUGGACACAAGCUCUGACUUUACUACCAUCCUAAAUUGUCACCAGGUGGACAG
ensembl:lncRNA